AAGAAAUAAUAUACCAAAAAAUAAGCUUCUAACUUAGUUUUAAGCUGUGAAAUUCAGUUUUAUUUCU
rnacentral:tRNA from 1 species